AGCCGCCCACUAAUCAUUGUAUAAGAUUUGAAAAUCAAUAGACCAAAAUCCUUUCUAAUUAUAUGAUGAGAGUUAAAGGGAUUGCAGGUCCUGACCUCUUUGUAAAUCUUAUCAUCACAUGAAUUGCCAUGAUAUCUUUGUUGGAGCAAUAUUAGAGAAUAUAAAAAUAACACAAAAAUCUAAUAACAAUAAUUAUAAAGAAAUUCACAACAUCAAUUGUGUACAAAUUAAUAUAAAUAACGUAUAGAGAAAGUAAGAAGAC
rnacentral:lncRNA from 1 species